rnacentral:rRNA from 1 species
UACGAAGGGGGCUAGCGUUGCUCGGAAUUACUGGGGGUAAAGGGCGCGUAGGCGGACAGUUUAGUCAGAGGUGAAAGCCCAGGGCUCAACCUUGGAAUUGCCUUUGAUACUGGCUGUCUUGAGUUCGGGAGAGGUGAGUGGAAUGCCGAGUGUAGAGGUGAAAUUCGUAGAUAUUCGGCGGAACACCAGUGGCGAAGGCGACUCACUGGCCCGAUACUGACGCUGAGGCGCGAAAGCGUGGGGAGCAAACAGG